GAACGGUUAGCUCUGUUGGUAAGAGCGCUCGGACUGAACCCGAGAGGUCGCGGGUUCGAGUCCCGCGUCGUUCA